rnacentral:rRNA from 1 species
AGCAGUCGCCGCGGGAAUACGAAGGGGGCUAGCGUUGUUCGGAUUUACUGUGCGUAAAGCGCACGUAGGCGGACUUUUAAGUCAGGGGUGAAAUCCCGGGGCUCAACCCCGGAACUGCCUUUGAUACUGGAAGUCUUGAGUAUGGUAGAGGUGAGUGGAAUUCCGAGUGUAGAGGUGAAAUUCGUAGAUAUUCGGAGGAACACCAGUGGCGAAGGCGGCUCACUGGACCAUUACUGACGCUGAGGUGCGAAAGCGUGGGGAGCAAACAGGAUUAGAUACCCCCGUAGUCCCUGUCUCUUAUAC